UGGCGGCAGGCCUAACACAUGCAAGUCGAGCGGCAGCGGGAAGAUAGCUUGCUAUCUUUGCCGGCGAGCGGCGGACGGGUGAGUAAUGCCUAGGGAUCUGCCCAGUCGAGGGGGAUAACAGUUGGAAACGACUGCUAAUACCGCAUACGCCCUACGGGGGAAAGGAGGGGACCUUCGGGCCUUCCGCGAUUGGAUGAACCUAGGUGGGAUUAGCUAGUUGGUGAGGUAAUGGCUCACCAAGGCGACGAUCCCUAGCUGUUCUGAGAGGAUGAUCAGCCACACUGGGACUGAGACACGGCCCAGACUCCUACGGGAGGCAGCAGUGGGGAAUAUUGCACAAUGGGCGAAAGCCUGAUGCAGCCAUGCCGCGUGUGUGAAGAAGGCCUUACGGGUUGUAAAGCACUUUCCAGUAAGGAGGAAAGGU
rnacentral:rRNA from 1 species